UGACCGCUGGCGGCGUGCCUACUACAUGCAAGUCGCGCGAACAGACGAGGAGCUUGCUCCUCUGACGUUAGCGGCGGACGGGUGAGUAACACGUGGAUAACCUACCUAUAAGACUGGGAUAACUUCGGGAAACCGGAGCUAAUACCGGAUAAUAUAUUGAACCGCAUGGUUCAAUAGUGAAAGACGGUUUUGCUGUCACUUAUAGAUGGAUCCGCGCCGCAUUAGCUAGUUGGUAAGGUAACGGCUUACCAAGGCAACGAUGCGUAGCCGACCUGAGAGGGUGAUCGGCCACACUGGAACUGAGACACGGUCCAGACUCCUACGGGAGGCAGCAGUAGGGAAUCUUCCGCAAUGGGCGAAAGCCUGACGGAGCAACGCCGCGUGAGUGAUGAAGGUCUUCGGAUCGUAAAACUCUGUUAUUAGGGAAGAACAAAUGUGUAAGUAACUAUGCACGUCUUGACGGUACCUAAUCAGAAAGCCACGGCUAACUACGUG
rnacentral:rRNA from 1 species